ACAACAUUGGUUCCGUCGGUCUACUGAGCCAUAUUAUUCGCUCGGUAGAAGAUCUUCUCUUUGUCAC
rfam:Bombyx mori DNA, contig: Bm_scaf2648_contig47746, strain: p50T/Dazao, build 2, whole genome shotgun sequence.